UUGCACAUUUUAGCUUAACAAUUUAACAACGGCAGUUUUAAAUUUGUCCCGAACGUAAUUACUUUUUGCGCAUAGCAAAGCCUUUAUGUGAUCUAGCAACUGGAUCGAUACUGGAUGACAGUUCGAUUAUCCAAUCAGAAUCAGCUGUCAACAAAGGGUGUUGCCAGAAUACAAAUAUGCACAAUUUUCAGAAUAUUUAAUUAUUUAGAAUUAACAAUUUAAAUGUAAUUAAUAAAUCAGAAAAUAGUCACUUUAUUGUUGGAAAAUUAUAUGGAAUUUUGUGCACUAGGAUUUUCAGUUGGUUGAAAUUUACUUCUGCAGAGGACUGCUGAGGUGGUCAUUUUAGAUGUUAUCCCCAAGCCUCUCAAGGUCGUUAGGGCUCCUGAGAUCAUUUCCUGCACUUGCUAGCUGUCUCCGGUCCUGUUCAGGCCUCCAGUGCCUGCUUUUAUUUAUCGAGUUUCAUCUUCGAUCCAAAAAGUGAUCAGAUUGAUGGAGUGCUGGCGGUCAAUCCUUGUGUAGCCUAAGGGCAUUCUGGAGGAAUAUUUUCCCACCAUGAAUUGUAAGUAGAAUAUUAUGGGUGUAUCAGGUUGAUCACAUUAUUGAUCCUUGCCUCAGUUUAAUUUGACCACGUGUGUCUAUUUCCAGUCUUCUGGUGGACUAUGUGGAGGGAAGGGUCGUCAGAGCUGAGAAAAUGAGCUCUCUCAAGUUCCAGCUGCUGACUGGGAAUUAAAACUAUAUUUACAAUUACAAUUACAACUAAAUCUGUGUUUAGGCCUACUCCAGGUUAUACUGGUUAUACAGACAUUCAAGUAAUGUCUUCUUUAUAAAGGGGGCCGGUUUGUCCGGCAACUCCAAUUUUACCACAAGCGUCGAAUGGUGCGAUAGCUUGCUUCCGGGGUCGAGCCUAUCCAGGCGAAGAAGAUGCUCUCAACUUGCUGAUGCGUCGGUUGCGGUGGUGCUUCAUUGUGUCACAGCGCCUGGGGCGACCAGCUUCAGCUCGCAGAAGGAGGGCUUACACAUUGUAUUAGCGGUAACUUCUGGCUUGAAGGUUGGUGUCAUUUUCUUUCUUCCUGGAAGGCAAGAUUACUUAGUUUAGUUAAGAAGAAUUCCUAUUAUCUAUGUUGGCACUGAUAACUAGGGACUAACAGAACUUAGGAACGCUUGUAAAUCAUUUAGAAUUGAACUAUUGCACGGCCCAGCUCUACCGUCUGGCAAUACAUAUUAAGGUGCUAGCUUAAGCUUAGAAUAAUGAUUUACUGGCUAUAACUUGCUUUGUGUCCGUUAGACAAUAAAAUAGUGUGUCACAA